CUCCUACGGGAGGCAGCAGUGAGGAAUAUUGGUCAAUGGGCGCAAGCCUGAACCAGCCAUGCCGCGUGAAGGAUGAAGGCCUUCUGGGUUGUAAACGUUCUUUUAAUGGGGGUAAGAAAACGUACGGUUUACUACUGUAGCCGACGGUACCCUAGGAACUAAGCACCGGCUAACUCCGUGCCAGCAGCCGCGUAAUAC
rnacentral:rRNA from 1 species